AAGAGACGUUGCCCUUCGGGGUAUACCUCCCACCCUUUGUUAUUAGACCUUUGUUGCUUUGGCGGGCCCGUCCUCGGACCACCGGCUUCUGCUGGUCAGUGCCCGCCAGAGGACCUAAAACUCUGUUUGUUAAUAUUGUCUGAGUACUAUAUAUAGUUA
rnacentral:misc_RNA from 1 species